rnacentral:lncRNA from 1 species
UAAAACUAAGAUUUAUGUACAGUAAAUAAAAUAAUGAUGACAAGAUUUAAUUGUAACAAAAUUAAAAUCAGAGAAUCCAUUUACAAAUAAAAAAAUUGCAAAAUAGGGUCAAUGUGUCACGCCUAUGAAAUGUGCAGGGAUUGGUAUUAAAAAUACCCCAUCACCACAACGCUUUUCUGAACCGCGGAUUAAAAUGAAAAUAGGCACAAAUUAACAUGCUAAAUUGCGAAAUAAAAAAUAAGCCAACUGAACACAAAUCGAAGACUCAUGCAAAGGGGGGAUCUAACGUGCAAAUAUACCAUUUAAACAAAGAAGGCGCGGAUCCGGGUACCCAGCGGGUCGACGCGCGGACCUUCUUUGUUUGGAACGGCGCCGUUUUCGAAACCUUCCCCAAGCCUUCCUUUAACCUUUCCUUCUCCUUCAGCCGAUUUUCUUCCCUUUUGAAAGCCAAAAACCCUUAAAAACAAACAGCAUGGUUCUAUUAGCGAGCCUCUGUUGAAUCACCAUCAUUUGGUGACCAACUGCAUGCAAACAAACGCUCCAAUUACACCACUGAUGGAGCUUACCCAUACCUUGAAGAAUCCAGUAAGUAUUUCUUUCUAUAUUUUCCUUUAUUUUUGAAAAUAAGAUUCCAAUCUCAUGAUUUUUAACAGAGCAAACAAUCCAUGACUCAAAGAUCAUUUCGAAAAUAAUCAAUCCCUCGCCCUUGCCUCUGUAUUUCAAGGUUUUUUGGGCUCUCAUCGGUAUUGAUUUUAAAAAAAUAAUAAUUAAAUCAAAGAGAGAAGAAGAAAAAAAAAUACACUAGAUCUAGAAUAUGAAAUUUGAAAUCACCUUUUCUAAUCAAGAUUUUCUAUUCUCUAUGCGCGCUUGCGUAUAUUUCUACAGGUGUACAAAAAAUGUCUGUGUCCAAAGUACAAUUUCUCGGCUUUUUAUAGUCGGAUUUGCAAAGGAAAAAAUAAAUAAAUAAAUAAAAAUACAUUUUGGCUGUCAUCUAUUGUAUUCUGUUAAUACUUCUUCUCGUACAUUCUUUUGCAGGUAUGGAGCGAUGGUCGUACGGAGAAACGGAGAGAAGCAUGCUCAAACGGAACCGUGCGAGGAAUUCGCUCGUAAAUCCCAACUUCCUGGCAAUGUUCUAGUACGUUCCAGAUACUUGGCUGCUGGAAUACCCUUCUUUUUUGGGCUUUUUCGGGUUUGGGCUAGAUUUAGGGCCUAGGUUUAUAGAAUUGGGUUUUAACAUUUGUUGGGUUAUGAAUUAUUUUGGCACAUGCAUUGUAAAGGGACUUUACUGGACAUUUAGUCUUUGGAUUUUACUUAUUUAUUCGGGUUUAUUAUUUGCAAAUGAAUUAAUUGGGCCCGGGCAAAAUUGGUUAUCUACAAACAUACAUAAAUAUUAAUCACCAUUCAUAAAAUAAUAUUAAAAUUUAAUAAUUUAACCGUAAGAACUUACUUGGGAAAAUUUGCAAAAGUCAUACAAGUUCAAGGACUAAUCGGCUAUUUUCUCUUUUUCACAAUUCAUUUUAGGUUCUUGAUCUAUAAUUGUAAAAUUAUUUAUUUAUUAGCAUUCAUUUCAAUUUUACUCUACUUUACAGUUUAUACCCUUUAAUUUCAAAAAUUAUACUUUUUCUCUAAAUUUUACAAUUUUUACAAUUUAGUCCCUGCUCAAUUAACCCAUCAAUUGAGCUAAAUUUUCUCAAUUAACACUUUAUUUAUUCAUUAUAAGCUACUAUAAAACCUUUGAAAAUCAGAAUUUCAGUACCAAAUCUUAAUUCACAACUUUUUCACAAUUAGGUCUGAAAAUCAAUUUCUAUCAAAAUCCCUUAAUAAAAUCAUCAUAUAAUAAAAUAAGAACAUAAAUUCCAUAAUAAUUCACCAUAAUCAUACAGAACUUAUUCAUGGUAACUUUUAAAGUCACAAAUAAAAUAAAAACUAAUGAAUUAGAUAAUGGGACCUAAUUGUAAAAGUCACAAAAACAUAAAUAUUACUAAGAAAAAGUAAAAAUUAAACUCACAUACGUCAAAAUAUGGAAAACCAGCAACUUCCAAACCUCCUAUGGCGUUUUUGCUGAAGAAAAAUGAUGAUAUCUCUAGAUUUUUUCAAUUUUGUCUUUGUUUUAUAUGUUUAAGUUGCAAAAUUUUCAAUUUUGCCCUUAUUUCUCCUUGUCUUUUUGCUGAUUUUCUUGCCCAAACUGUCCAGCCCAUAUAAUUUGGGUCUAAUAUCCUUUUAAAUCCCUUCUUAUUAGUCACUUAAGCUAUUUAAUCACUUUACCAAAUUUUACACUAUUUUCAAUUUAGUUCCUUUUAAUUAAUUGACUAACCAAACAUUAAAAUUUUCUAACGAAACUUUAAUACUAACUCAAUAACACUCCAUAAAUAUUUAUAAAAAUAUUUAUGGCUCGGUUUAUGAAUCUGAGGUCUCGAUACCUUGGUUUCAACCCGAUUUACCUAAUUAAUUCUUUUAAAUCACAAAAUUCACUAAUUACAAAAAAUACUUCUAUAAUCACACUUGACUCAUAGGUAUUAAUUUAUUAAAUUUUCAACUCACUCGUCGACUUUAGUGAUCUUGAAUCACUGUUUCUGACACCACUAAAAAUUGGGCUGUUACAAUUACUGAUUAAAAAAAAUUAAAACUGGAUGACCAAAAUAGAAACAUGCUAAUAGUUAGGAGACCAUUAAUAUAAUUUGCCCUUAACUUUACUACUUGUAAUUAAAUUAAAAUGACACACUUUAAAAAGUUGAUUGAAAACCUUAUUUUAAAAUUUUUAAGUCAUCUUAUAAAUUAAAAUAAGUCAAACAACUCAUUUUAAUAAUCUUUUGAUAUGGGUUCUCCUUUACCACAAGAGUUGUUCUCUUUUGUCUCGUUGGAACAACUAGGGUCCUUAGUCCCUGCGGGCUUUGAGAGGGCCACAAAGAAAGUUAAGAAUAAAUCCCCUGAUGGUCCUGAUCUAGAGGAUGUGGUAAUGAAAGAUGGGUCUCCCAAAGGUUUCAUGGCAAGACAAACAUGUAGGGAAUGUUGAGGAUAGAGGGGUUAAAAGAAGAAGUGGUUGUAGAGUCAGAACUUGAAAUUGGGAAGGAUGACUACACGAUUAGUACCGAAGGCAAGUAUCCUGAGAUUACUUUUUUCGAGCGGAUUCAUGAAUGGAUUGAUAGGAGCUUGGCUAAGACAGUUCUAACGCGUCUCUUUGGAAAAAAAUAUUGGUUACAAAGCUUUGGUAGGUUGUCUACAAGCUUUAUGAGGUUUAACUGGGAGAUUCCAGGUGGUUGACCUUAAUAACAAUUUUUUCCUAGUUAAACUCAAUAGUAAAAAAGAAAGUUAUCCUUCGAAAAUGGUGCUCUGGGUAAGGUUUCCUUGACUUCCAUAUUGAUACUAUACUAAAGGUUUGUUGAGAAUUUUCUCCAAAGUGAUGGGAAAGAUUAUAAAAGUUUAUUAUAACACAACGAAGUGAAGAGAGGUGUUGAUCUGAAAAAACCUUUAAUUUUUUGUGUUGGUAUUGAUGGUAAUGUUAAAUAUGUAGAGUACAAAGGCUUGCUUGUCACUUGUUAUGAGUGUGGUUGCUAUGGGCACACUAAGGAGAGUUGUCCGAAACAACAAGGGAAUGAGAAAAAAAAGUGGGCUUGAUAGAGCUAACGGUGGUGCUGACUAUUGAUACCAUAACAGCUACAAUUACAGGUGCUACGAAGGAUUCGAUUUCUCUAUAUAGACCUUGGAUGCAAGCUCCGACCCAUAGACGAAGACAAAAUAUUUUGGGAAAGUCUAUUAUGAAAGGAAAACAAGAUCAAUCAUUUGUUAAAGAAAUGAACAAAUCACGCUUCCAAAUCUUGGAAAAUAAUGGUGAUGAGAAUGCAGCUGUUUUUUAUUAUUAUAAGGAAACUAAAUAUUAUCAAAUGAAAAAUAAGAAAGCUGAAUAUUCUCAAAUGAAAAACAAAACCAAGUUGAAAGAGAAAGAAUCAAUGUGAAAAAUUUUAAAGAGAUCAAAUUCUGAGGGGUUGGUGAAGGAUUCGUAUGAAGGAAAAAUUAAUAGUGGGUCAAUUACGAAGGCUAAUGGAAAAGAGUCACAAUCUACUAUUGAGAAAGACCAGUACAAUGAGGUAGGGGUAGGAGAAAGUAAGGAAAUGGGCCUCAGAUCUCACCUGGUUUCAAUUCGAUUAUUAUUAGUGCUACUACCUUACCAGAAUUGAAUCACAUAGCUGUGAUCAUUGAUGAUAACAACACCAUAGUAGGCCACUCUAUUGCUUCUUCUUCAAAAGAUCCCAUGCAUGCAAUAAAGAGUUUGGUACGUCUAUGCAUGAGAUAACCAAAUGUGGGUUUAAAGUGCUGAAAAAACAAGGUCGUGCCGAAUCUUCAGGCUCAUUGUUGUCUAAAUGGAUUGAAUCAGUGACUUGUCAGCUAGAUAAUCCUGAUAAUCUUUCUAGAUAAUCCAUGAUUGUCGUUAUGUGUUGUUACAAACAUAUUUUUUGGAAGCAUUGCAUCAUGUUAAGGGUACUCCGAUGAUACAAUAGCUAGAUUCGUAUGUCAUUCAUGCCAUCCAAGACCUGUUGCGUUGAGAUUGGGAUAUUAGUAUUAGGCAUGUGUAGCGAGAACGCAAUAGGAUGGCUGAUUACUUAGGAAAAACUGUAGAAUGAAUGGUUAUUGUCUUUUACUCUUGGUCCCAACCUCCUAAUUUUGCUUUGAAUGUGUUAUAUGAUGAUGUUACUGGUUUAUCUUUUUCUAGAUUAAUUGUUAUGUAAUAACUUUUACCCUCCUUAUAAAAAAUAAAAUAAAAUAAAUAAUUGAUACAACAGACCACAAGCUCUUAAGCCCAAUUAAAAUGAUAUUUCCAGAAGAAGAAAGAAGAAGAAGAAAGUAAAACUGUGUAAAUGAAAAGAACAAGAUUUCUAGUAAUAAGUUUGUCUAACAUAGAUGGUAGAGCACAAGGUUGUUAAUCAUGUGGCUGUGGGUUUUAACUCAUUGUGGGUGCUUUUAAUCUUAUUAGCUUAUGUAUAAAUCUAGUCUAUUCCGAUUUACAGCCACACAUUUCAUUUCUUAUUUUUGGGUUAAAAAGCUUAUAAUUUUUUUUUUAAUAUUUGAGUUUUUAAAAUAAUUUAUAUUUUUCCUAAUAUUUUUUUGAACUUUUAUAAAAUUGUAUUAAAAUUAUUAAGCCUUUUCUUUCUUUUUUUUUCAGAUUUUCAAAUUUUAAAUAUUCUAAUUUUUUUUGAAAUAGUUAUACUUUUUUAAAAAUUUUGAUUUUUAAAAUUUUAAAUUUUUUUGAAUAUUUUUAAAAUAAAUUUAUUUCUUAAAAUUUUUAUAAUAUUUUAGCAAUAUAUAAUUUUGUUUUAUAAAUGUUUUAAUUUUUUGAAUUUUUUAUUGACGUAAAAUGCCACAUCAACGUUAUAACGGUUGAGUCAACUUUUGUUAAUAGUCACACUAAUACAAUAACAACUAAUAGCAUUUUUAUUAAUCAAAAGUUUAAUUGAUGUAAUUUUUGAAUUUUAGGGCUCAAUAAAUAUUUUUUUUUUGCAAAGGUGUUUUACUGACUUUUUAUGUGAGAAAGUUUCAAGGAAUUUUUUUUAAACUAAGUUUCACAAUAUGCAAGAUGUAUAAAACGAGAACCCAAUUUCCAAUGAUGAGGGAAAGAAAAGACAAAGGUCUGACUUUUUAAUUUCCAAGCUUUCCAAUGCUCAGGAUUCGUUGGAGAUAAGUGGUGGGUAUUCAACUCACCAAAAAAUUGUAUCGGCGGCUACUUGUGGGUAUGCCGACCAGAAGCCAUAAAGAUUUUAUGCUGGAAUGUUUGUAGAUUGGGGAGUUCGUGAACAAUAUGCCAUCUUCAGCAUAUGAUGAAAACUUAUAAUCCCCAUAUUGUCUUCUUUAUGGAGACAAAAUUGAAUGCUACCAGUAUAGAUAAUGUUAGGAGGCGUUGUGGUUUUUUUAACGGUAUCGAUGUUUCUGCAGAGGAGACUUGAGGAGGAUUAAGCCUUGGGUGGAAUGGUGGUCAUUUGGUAACUUUGAAGAAUUUCUCCAAUAAUCAUAUUGACGUGGAAAUUCAAGAAGAUGAGGGGACACUAAAGUGGCGAUUCACGGGUUUCUAUGGAGCUCCAGAUGUAAGAGAUAAAGCUGUCACGUAGAAUUUGCUUAGACGAUUGGGGCGGACUAAUUCGUUACCAUGGUUGGUUGGAAGAGAUUUCAACGAUAUUCUUUUUGCUAAUGAGAAGCAAUGUGGGAAUUUAAGGGAUGAGACUAGAAUGGAAGUUUUUCGCAGAACUUUGGACGAUUUUCAGUUAGUGGACAUUGGCUUCUCUGGACCUUGGUUCACUUGGGAAAGGGGUCGUGUAUUGGAAAAUAAUAUAAGAGAAAGAAUUGAUAGGGGUGUUGCCACGAAUGCGUGGAUUCAACUUUUUCCAUCGUAUUCUUUGAGACACCUUCCUCACUCUUUUUCGGAUCACUGUCCUUUACUUAUUGAGACGGAAGUAAGCGAUUUGGGUAACAGAACUAGACAAUUCUGUUUUGAAGCGUGGUGGGUUUUGGAGGAGUCAUGUGAGGAAGAAAUUUGAAAGUUGUGGGUGGGCAGCUCGGGUUCUUAUCCAAAUCGUAUUGCAAUACUUGCUAAGUCACUGAAAAAAUGGGCAAACAUUACUAAGGCUAAUAGAGGCCAUGUGGUCAAAAGUUUAACAAGGAGAUUAGAGGCUUUGAAUUGUGCCGAGCACUUGGAGGAAUCAAUGGUCGAGAUUGUUGAUGUCAAAUUACACUUAAAUAUGGAGAUAGAAAAGGAAAAAUGAUUUUGGGAACAACGAGUAAGAGCAAAUUGGUUGAAAUUGGGGGAUAAGAACACUUCUUUGUUUUCACAAGUUCACUUCUCAAAGAAGGCGUACAAAUUAAAUUUGUGGUUUGUAAAGGAAUGAUGGUUCUCUUGCCACAGAUUGUAAUGAAACUGAGAAUAUUGCUUAAGAUUAUUUUGCUGAUCUUUUUGAGUCUCGUGAAAUAGGAAAUUUUAACCAUAUUUUGUCGGGGGUAUCACGUUGCAUAACUGACAGUAUGAACCAAAGCUUGAUGGUUAGUUAUACGGAAGAGGAAAUUGUUGCGGCAUUGGCUGGAAUAGUGCCUACAAAAGUUUCAGGACCAGAUGGGUUUCCGGUAAUUUUUUACCAAAAGUAUUGGCACAUUAUUGGUAAAGAUACUAGCAUGUUCUGUUUGGAUAUUUUGAAUAAUGGAAAAUCUUUAGAUGAGAUAAAUAGAACACAAUUGGUUCUAAUACCAAAAAUCUCGAACCCCCUUAAUUUGAAGAAUUUUCUCCCGAUUAGCCUUUAUUUGGUAAUUUAUAAAAUUAUUGCCAAAAUAGUUGCUAAUCGUCUACAAAAAGUGUUGGAUGAGUGUAUUGACGACUCUCAAAGUGCCUUUGUGCUGUGUAGACUCAUAAUAAACAAUGUUUUGCUAGCAUACGAGAUACUUCACUCUUUCAAGAACAAAAGAACAGGGCGAAAGGGUUUGAUGGCUCUUAAGCUGGAUAUGAGCAAGGCCUAUGACCAUGUGGAAUAGCCAUUCAUUAAAGGUAUGAUGUCAAAAAUGGGUUUUGUUGACCCUUUUAUUGAUUUUAUACUUCACUGUAUUAGUUCUGUCCAAUUUUCAAUUUUAUUUAAUGGUAAAGAAUGGCCUAAAUUUAAUCCAUCAAGAGGACUGCUUCAGGGAGAUCCUUUAAGUCACUGUUUAUUUUUGUUCUGUGGAGAGGGGCUAUCUGCGCUGAUGAGACUUGCUUACCAGGAACGAAAAAUUUCGGGUGCUAAGGUUUGUAGAACGUCUCCACCAAUCAACCAUCUCAUGUUUGCGGAUGAUUGUAUACUGUUUGGAGAGGUUUCAGAUGGGGGAAUUCAGGUGAUUAGAGAGAUCUUAAAAGAGUGUGAACUUUGUUCGGGCCAGUGUGUAAAUUUUGAAAAGUCCACGAUUUUUUUUAGCUCAAAUGUACACGAUCAAGAUAAAAACUUGGUGGUUUAGACUCUCCAUGUUCGUUGCUCGACUGGGCCAGAAAAAUAUCUGGGAUUAUCGAAUAUGGUGGGAAAAAGUAAGAAAUUGGCUUUUCAAACCUUGAAGGACAGAUUGAAGUAGAAAAUUAAUAGUUGGAGUAUACGACAUAUUUCUCAAGGUGGAAAAGAGGUUUUUAUAAAAGCAGUUUUACAAGCAAUUCCUACCUUUACAAUGUCUUGUUUUCUACUUCCAAAAACUUUAUGUCUAGAGAUGGAAAAUAUAAUUGGGGGUUUUUGGUGGCAAAAUAGUCAUGGAAAAAAAGGAUUGCACUGGUGUGACUGGAAAUCAUUAUGCGUUCCGAAAGAUGAAGAUGGGAUGGGUUUCUAAAAUCUAAAUUCUUUUAAUAUUUUGUUAUUGGCAAAGUAGGGUUGGCGUUUGUUACGUAACCCGAAUUCUUCACUAGCGCGUACUUUGAAGCCCAAAUACUUUAAAAACUCAGAUUUCUUAAACUCCAGUUUAAGAAAUUUACCUUCUCUUAGUUGGCAGAGUCUAUGGUCUGCAAAAGGACUCAAUAUGAAGGGAUUGGGUUGGAGGAUUGGCGAUGGGAAGAAGGUCUCCAUCUGAGGAGAUGCAUGGGUACCUGGAAGUAAUGAUUUCAGAGUUCAAAAUUUAAAUGCCAAUUCGAGUUUGUCCACAGUAUCUGAUUUAAUUGAUGACAAUAUGAAAGAAUGGAAAGCAGGGUUGAUACACAGUACCUGCCUAGAGAAGGACGUGGAGCGAAUUUUAUGCAUUCCUUUGUCCAUGAACUAGCAGGAAGACCAUAUUAUCUGGCAAAGAGAGCCGACAGGGGAAUACAUGGUUUGUAGUGGGCAUAAAUUACUUUUAUAGGACAAGCAGAAUCAAAUGCAAAUAGAUUACGAGCAAUUUUACAAAAGAUUGUGGAGCCUUGAUCUACCUCUAAAAAUUAAAAUUACAAACUGGAGGUUUUUUUGUAAUUUUUUGCCUACUUUUGGUAAUCUACUGUCGAAACCAUUCUUUUGAAAACGGGAAUCGACUUUGUUUGAAAGUGAAAAUUAAAACAAGAGUCGCCACCAAUCUUUUAUCAGGUGUGAUCGGAUCACCUUUAUUUUAAUAAAUCAAUUUUAGUUUACUAAAAUAGGGCCUUUGGUCUACGAAACUUGAGAGAAUGAGUUCGGGAGUCGGUUAUGUGCGAGGAAAGAUUAGCACCCUCGACACGCCCAAAAAAUUGGUACCGAAUUGAUUAGUUAGUGUCUUAAUGUCGAAAAUUAAAAAUCGGGAAGGGACUUGAAAUACGAUCUUUUCUAUUAGUACUGAUUUUAAAAUUCUUGAAUUAGCUUAAAUCGAUUUGUUUAAAGAUUUCCUUAUCUCGAGAUAUCAGAGUAUCACAUCCCGUAAGUUAGGACACAAUACCAUGAAUUCCCUAGCACAAGGUCGUCUUUUAAUUUAAAUUGGAAAUCCGUGCAUUUCAAAACUCAAAAGAAUAUUUAGCUAUUUAGAACCAACAAGAGAACCGAAACCUCGUAAGUUAGGGCACAAUUCUUCGAUGUUCCAAAAUGCGAACAUUGCCUUAUUUAUUGAAAUUAGUAAAAACAUGAAUAAAAAUCUUUAAAGUAAUGAAAAAUAGAAUGAUAUAAAAUAGGCGGGAGACAAAAAUAAACGAGUUGGAAAUACAUUGAAACAAAUAAUAAAUAUGACAACAAUAUUAAAACAAUAACAAUGCAUGCGAUAUAUUAAACGUAAUAAUAGUAUCCAAUGUGAAAUAAAAACAACGAAUAUAUACAUAAUAAAGAUAUUAAGAGUAUGUACGUAAAAUAUAUAUAUAUUUAUAAAUAGUAAUAGUCUUAGAAAUAUACUAUAUAUAGUGUUUGAAGUAUAUACAUAAAAUAGUGAAAAUAUAACUAGUAAUGUUAAGAUAUAUAUAAUAUAUACAUAUGUCUGAAAUAGAUAUAAAAAAAUAUAUAUACAUAAUAAGUGUAAAAAAUACAUACAUAAUAUAAUUAAAAUAUAUACAUAAGAUAACAUGUAGAAAAAAAAUAUAUAAAUAAUAUAGUAUUAAAGAUAUAUACAUAAAAUAGUAUAAUAUAUAUACGUAAUAUAGAAUUUAGAAUUUAGAAUAUACCUAAUAUAUUAAAAGAAUAUAUAUAAUAUAAUAUUAAAAAAUAUAAUAAUAACAAAAAAAAGAGAGGGAGAGAGUGGGUGAUUUCUGGCCACAAGGCCAGCCACCGUCCGGUCACUGGACCGCCGCCGGCCACCGUCGGUGCCACCUUACACGGCAGCCGAACCUCAAAAAAAACUAUUUCGGUAAAAAUGGGAAAGUUUCCUCCUUUUAUUUUUACUUUUGUAUAAAAGAAACAAAAUAAAACUGAAAGGAAAACAAUAAGCAAAGAAAGAACUUAAAACGAGAAUAGACUAAGAAACCUCUUUUGCUUUGAUAUUUGAUUAAUCUCCAAAAAAAAAAACUAGCCUCUCCAAAAACUAGCCUUUACAAUAACUCUUCUCCUUGAUUACUCUAAAAAAACCUCUCAAAAAUCCUUUACAAUAACUUUCUCCCCCAAAACUUCUUCCUCCCCUAAAUACAAAAUAUGAGAAGGCUUAUAUAGCCAUUUACCAAAUAUUUUUUAUUGUUUAUGUCUUCAUUUGUAGGUGCAAGUGGUGGUGGAGCAAGUGUGGCUAGUGGAGUAGGUGGUGGAGCAAGUGUGGCUAGUGGAGUUGGUGGUGGCAAAGGCAAGGAUUUAGUUAAGAAAAGUUUAGGUUGUGGGCUAGGGUUUUGAUGUAAAUUGGGCUUUGGGUAGUUAAGAUUUUGGGUUUAGGGUUUAAUUUUGGUGGGUUAGGUAAGGUUAAAUUGGGUUUUGAUGUAAAUGGGUUAAAAUUGGCCUACAACAGCUGCCCCUCUUUGCUUUUUAUCGUGUAACGGGAAUAAAGCAAAGACACAAAGAAAGGUCAAUUUUGCUUGGUCUUGCUAAGUAUGGACUUCUUUGGUGCUCUUCUCAUCCAGGUAGUCUCUUUCCAAACCAUUGUAUCUUGUCUUGAUCAAAUCCACUGCAUUUUCUGAUAUAUGUCUUGUAGCUUCGAUUUACUCCAAGGUGACUUCAAAAAGAUAAGAUCUACAGCUUCAAUCGACUCUUCCAUCGCUUUAGUCAGAUAAAAUUUGUGGUCUUCUCUUCUGCAACUUUUAGAAAGGUAAGAUCUGAUAUCAUCGAUCAGCUCCACUGCAACUUCAAUUAGCUUCACUGUAACUUCAAGGAUAUAAAAUCUGUGUCUUCGAUUAAUUCCAGUCUUUAUUCUUUACUCGGCAUGUGAUCCUGAGCUUAACUCAUUUCUCGCAAUAUGAAUUGACUCUUUAAAACUAAACAUUAAAAACAGAAAUUGAAAAUAGCUCAGCACGUGAGCCAAGGCUCAACUCACUUUUCGCAAUAUGAGUUGAUUUUUAAUACAUCGGUAUGUGACCCGAGGCUCAACUCACCUCUCAUAAUAUGAGUUGAUUUUUGCAAAGCAUAAAUUGAAAAAAAAAAUAAAAAUAAAAAUCAAUUGAAAAUACCUCGGUGUGUGAUCUGAGGCUCAACUCACCUCUCGCAAUAUGAGUUGAUUUUUUUAACAAAAUAAAUUGAAAAGAAAUUAAAAAUAUCUCAGCGUGUCCUGAGGUUGAACUCAGCUCUCGCAAUAUGAGUUGAUUUUUUGAAAAAACAAAAUUUGAAAAUACCUCAGCGUGUGAGUCAAGACUCAACUCACCACUCGCAAUAUGAGCUAAUUUUUUUUUGAAACACAGAAAUGGAAAACACAUCAGCAUCUUGAGGUUCAACUCACCUCUCGCAAUAUGAGCUAAUUUUUUUUGAAAGACAGAAAUUGAAAAUACCUCAACAUGUCUUGAGGCUCAACUCACCUCUCGCAAUAUGAGUUAAUUUUUGACAAACAAAAAUUGAAAUUACCUCAGCGUCUUGAGGUUCAACUCACCUAUCGCAAUAUGAGUUGAUUUUUUUGAAAAACAGAAAUUGAAAACACCUCAACGUAUCUUGAGGUUCAACUAACCUCUCGCAAUAUGAGCUGAUUUCUUUUAAAGAUAGAAAUUGAAAAUACCUCAACGUGUCUUGAGGCUCAACUCACCUCUCGCAAUAUGAGUUGAUUUUUGACAAACAAAAAUUGAAAUUACCUCAGUGUGUCCUGAGGCUCAAGUUAAUUUUUUUGAAAAACAGAAAUUGAAAAUACCUCAACGUGACUUGAGGUUCAACUCACCUCUUGCAAUAUGAGUUGAGUUUUGACAAACAAAAAUUGAAAUUACCUCAGCGUGUCCUGAGGCUCAACUCACUUCUCGCAAUAUGAGUUGAUUUUUUUAGAAACAUAAAUUUAAAAAACGAAAAUUGAAAAUACCUCAACGUGUCCUGAGGCUCAACUCACCUCUUGCAAUAUGAGUUGAUUUGAAAAGCAGAAUUUGUAAGGCAAAAAUUGAAAAACAGAAAUUGAAAAUACCUCAACGUGCCCUGAGGCUCAACUCACUUCUUGCAAUAUGAGUUGAUUUUUGAAAAACAGAAAUUAAAAACAGAAAUUGAAAAAUAGAAAUUAAAAAUACCUCGACGUGCCCCGAGGCUCAGCUCACCUCUCGCAAUAUGAGUUGAUUUUUGAAAAGCAUAAAUUGAAAAAACAGAAAUUGAAAAUACCUCAGCGUGUGACAUGAGGCCCAACUCACCUCUCGCAAUAUGAGUUGAUUUUUUUGAAAGAUAGAAAUAAAAACAUCAAAACACCAAAAGAUGUCAUCUGGUGAAACUCGGUGUCCUUUCCUUUGAUUCAGUACAGCUAUCAUCGAAAUCUCUUGUUCUGCUGAAAUACAUGUAUAUGUCAUGCAUGAUGUUAUCAUGAAAUGCACAUGUUUGCCUUAAAUGCCUUUAUGAUCAUGCUAUGUGCCUUGGGCUUGCUUGCCAUAUGUCCUUUUCCGUCAUGAUUUUUGAUGAUCUGCGUUCAUUGCUUUGACUCUUGACUUUCUCUUCAGGCCUUGUACCCAUCCUCUAGCUUCACGACUAAUCUGUGUUUCUCAGAUAUCGUUCUUUUGCCCCUAGUUGAACUUUGUCCUUGCUUUGAGGCUCUUGUACUUAUCAAAUUCUUGUCCGAGUAAUGCUUAGCACUUCUUUUGUUUAGAAUAUGUCAUUUCACUAUUUAUCAUGUAAAUGAACCACAUAAUGAGAUGCAUGAAAAUGGUCAAGUAGGGACAAAAGAAUACCUCACAUUUAUUCAUUUCAAAUGUAGCAAACAAAGAAAGUUAAUCAAUGAUAGUAAAAAAAAGUGUCAUAAAGAGAAAGGGGAUCGUAUUUCAAAAAAUACAAAUGCUCUAGAUAUUCAACGCAUGAACUCUUCCACGUUCCUCAAUCAAGAAUCUUUUCAAGCAUGGCUUUCUUGCGUAAGAGAUUUCGAGUUUUCAGAAAUGCUUCAAAUACUAUAGUCUCUCUGUUUGACCCACCGUUCAAAACGCCUUACUUUUUAAGCCAGUGCUUGCUUCAUUAGAACGCCCUUUAGGGUUUUCAUCCGAAUCUUUUGUGUUAAUUAAGAUGUCCUUUUCGUGUUUUCACCUUGAUCACUCUCUCUUUUUCUUUUUUCUUUUCUUUUUUUUAAGAUGCCCUUUUUCGGGUUUUCAUCUUGAUUUUCCUUUUUUAAGCAUAAUAUUUCUUCACAGCAUCUGAAUUCACUAGAUUCGGUAACUCCUUCCCAUUUAUCUCAGUGAGAAUCAAAGCUCCGCUCGAGAAUGCCUUCUUUACGACAUAUGGUCCUUCCCAAUUUGGUGCCCAUUUUCCUCGUAAGUCCUUCUGUAUUGGAAGAAUCUUUCUCAGCACGAGUUCUCCUUCGUGGAAUUCUCUUGGUCGUAUUUUCUUGUCAUAGGCCGCGAUUAUUCUCUUCUGGUACAUCUGUCCGUGACAAAUUACCUUUAAACGUUUUUCUUCGAUGAGGUUUAACUGGUCAUAUCGAGCUCGAACCCAUUCUGCCUCCUCUAGUUUCGAAUCCAUUAAGACUCAUAAAGAGGGGAUCUCAACUUCGAUAGGUAGCACAGCUUUUAUUCUAUAGACCAGAGAGAAAGAAGUUGCCCCCGUAGAUGUCCGUACAGAUGUGCGAUAUGCAUAUAAAGCAAAUGGUAGCUUCUCGUGCCAAUCUUUUUAUGUCUCAGUCAUUUUCCCAAUAAUCUUCUUAAUAUUCUUGUUGGCUGCUUUAAUAGCUCCGUUCAUUUUCGGGCGAUAGGGUGACAAGUUAUGAUGCUUUAUUUGAAACUGCUCACACACUUGCUUCAUCAUUUUGUUGUUCAGAUUCAAGGCGUUAUCUGAAAUGAUUCUCUCAGGCAAACCAUAUCGACAAAUGAUUUCCUUUUUCAAAAAUCUGCAAACUGCAGUCUUUGUCACAUUGGCAAACGAAGCAGCUUCUAUCCAUUUUGUGAAGUAAUCAAUAACCAAAAAAAUGAACCGAUGUCCAUUAGAAGCUUUUAGGGAAAUUGGCCCCAUAACAUCCAUGCCCCACAUAGAAAAGGGCCACGGAGAAGUCAUGACAUGAAGGGGCGAAGGGGCAACAUGAAUCUUAUCACCAUAAAUUUGACAUUUGUGGCAUUUUCUUGCAAAACUAAUGCAGUCGCUUUCCAUCGUCAGCCAAUAGUAACCGAGUCUCAUAAUCUUCCUGGCCAUAGUGAAACCAUUGGCAUGUGUCCCACAAAUUCCCUCGUGGACAUCUUCAAGUAUUUUUCUAGCUUCAAUAGCAUCUACACAUCUCAAGAGCACUUGAUCUUUUCCUCUUUUGUACAGGAUGUUCCCAUCAAGAACAAAUCCUGCUAUCAUUCUUCUGAUUGUUUGUUUGUCAUUCUCAUUUGCUUGUUCGGGAUACUUUUGGUUCUUGACAUAUUCUAAGAUAUCAUGGAACCAUGACCAUCCAUCUGGCUCUUUUUCAAUGCUGAAACAAUGUGCAGGGACUUCAUAUAUGCUCAUUUGAAGAGGCAUUAUUUUUGUUUCUCUGUUUGCUUUGAACAUUGAAGCCAAAGUGGCCAGGGCAUCAGUCAAUUGAUUUUCUUCUCGUGGGAGGUAAUUAAAAGUUAUUUCUUCGAAUUCUUUAAUCAGCUCUGCCACUAGAUCACUGUAUUUGACUAGUUUCGAAUCUCCCACUUCCCAAUCUCCACGGAUUUGGUAUAUCACCAAGGCUGAGUCUCCGUAUACCUUUAAACUUUUGAUGUUUCAUCCAAUUGCUGCACGAAGUCCCAUGAUACAAGCCUCAUAUUCUGCUAUGUUAUUGGUACAGAAAAGUUCAGCCUGGCAGUGAGUGGGUAAUGAUUUCCUUCUGGUGAUACUAAGACUGCUCCAAUCCCAUGCCCCAAUGCAUUCGAUGCACCAUCAAAACUCAUCUUUCAUGACUUUUCUUUUGAUGACUCACAUUCUUUUUCUAUAAUGCACAUUAAGUCUUCAUCUGGGAAAUCAAAUCUCAAUGGCUUGUAUUCCUCCGUUGUUCGAGUUGCUAAGAAGUCAGCUAUUGCACUCCCUUUUAUCGACUUUUGGCUCACAUAGACGAUAUCAUAUUCUGAUAGUAAGAUCUGCCAUCGUGCCAUUCUUCCUAAGAGUGCAGGUGAUUCCAUCAUGUACUUUAUUGGGUCUUACUUUGAAAUUAGCCAUGUCGUAUAAUACAACAUAUAUUGCUUGAGUCUUCGAGCUACCCAAACCAGAUCGCAACAGCAUUUUUCUAUGGAUGAAUACUUUGCCUCAUAUUCAGUGAACUUUUUGCUGAGGUAGUAGAUCGCCUUUUCUUUCUUUCCGAACUCGUCAUGUUGCCCCAGUACGCAACCUAUUGAAUUCUCGAACACAGUCAAAUACAAUAUCAAUGGUCUUUCCGGCAUUGGUGGUACUAGCACUGGAGGACUAGACAAAUACUGUUUUAUCUUGUUAAAAGCCACUUGGCACUCUUCGUUCCAUUCUCCGGGAUUAUGUUUUCGAAUGAGUCGAAAGAUUGGGUCGCAUUGGUUGGUAAGUUGAGCGAUAAAUCGGGCGAUGUAGUUUAAUCUCCCUAAAAAUCUCUGACUUUCUUUUGCGUACGCGACGGUGGUAACUCUUAAAUGGCUUUUAUUUUAUCUGGAUCAACUUCAAUGCCUCUCUCACUGACAAUGAAGCCAAGCAAUUUUCCUGAGGUAGCCCCAAACGUACAUUUGGCCGAAUUGAGCUUUAGCUGGAACUUUUUCAGUCUGUCGAACAACUUCUUCAGGUUCAUUACAUGCUCUUCUUCCCCUCGGGAUUUAGCAAUCAUAUCAUCGACAUAGACCUCUAUUUCUUUAUGCAUCAUGUCAUGGAAUAACGUCACCAUAGCCCUCUGAUAUGUUGCCCCAGCAUUCUUUAACCCAAAUGGCAUCACCUUGUAGCAGAAUGUUCCCACAUUUUUACGAAGGUAGUUUUCCCAUAUCCUCAGGGGCCAUCUUGAUCUGAUUAUACCCCGAGAAUCCAUCCAUGAAAGAAAGCAAUGAAUGUUUUACUGUGUUAUCCACAAACGUAUCAAUGUGUGGUAAGGGAAAAUUAUCUUUGGGACUUGCUCGAUUCAGGUCACGAUAAUCCACGCACAUUCGUACUUUGCCGUCUUUCUUUGGUACCGGAACUAUGUUGGCCACCCACUCUGGAUAUUUGGAGGUUUGUAGGAAGCCAGCAUCAAAUUGCUUCUUAGCUUCCUCCUUUAUUUUCAACAUCUCAGGUCUCAUCCGUCUUAGCUUUUGUUGAAUUGGUUUGCAUUCUGGCUUCAAUGGGAGCUUAUGGACCACUACAUCUUCAUCUAAUUCUGGUAUAUCCUGAUAUGACCAUACGAAUACAUCUUUGUACUCACGGAGCAAAGCAAUCAAAUUAUUUUUUGUGCCCCUUGAAAUAGAGGUCCCAAUCUUCACUUCUUGCUUCCUUUCUUCAGCUCCCAAGUUUAUUGUUUCAACAAAUUCUUGAUGAGGCAAAAUCUGUUUAUCCUCUUGUUCCACUAUUCUUAGCAAGUCAGGAGACGAGACAAUACUCUUCAGCAUUUUCUUCGGCUUCAAAUUUUCCUAAACAAACAACCUUCUCAAAAUUGAUUUUAGGACUCGUAACGGGUUUGCUCAUGCAAUUGAUAUCUGAGCACCUGAAAAUUGAAUGGAAAAGGAAACUAUAGAGGGGCAUCCAAGUAUUGAAACCAACAAACUAAAUGUUAUGGUAUGGCAUGAGGCAAAUGUAAAGAUAGGCUAUGAAAUGAUUAUGGAAUUAGUGAUAAUGCGAAAAAUCGUGACAAAAUGCAUCUUCAUUAAUAUUCAUUUAAAUGAUAAAGAGCGAAUGCAAGCUCUUACAAAAGAAUUCUAUUAUAUCUAAGGACAUAACAGAAUGUUAACGUUUGAGCAUUACUCUGGAGACUUAUAAACUAUAAGAAGAUCCUCGGCAGUCCAAUUGUUCAACAUAAAACCCGAGGGACAAGGGCGUAUCUUUGAGACGUCUUUAUUCGCAUCAGCUUUUUUGUCAAUGACAUUUAUACUGAUAUUCUGAAAACCCUCUUCGAUCAUUAACACAUUAUGCUUUGUGCACUAUACUGCCCUGGGUAUAUCAUUCCCGCAGACGUAAAUGUUCUUGACAAAUAAGGGAAUUUCAUGGGCUCCCAUUCUGGUUCUCGGCCUAAUGUUCUCGCGAUCCUUCUUUCUUAAUCUUUCUUCCACUGCUUUCUUCUUUGACACAUGUCCGGCUGGAACCCUAAACCGUAUCUAGCCUUGUGGUGUACUGGCUUUAGAGCCCUGACUAUUCCUUGCAGAUAUCUCCCUAAACCUCUUUUCGCUCGAGCUCCCCUUCCUAUAGUCAACUUGACACCCAUUCUGGUAUUUCUCGACAGUUUUGGCACCAAAAUUCUAUUUCCCUCAGCGACAAAAGUGGCAUUGACAAAUUCAAUGGAUCAGAAGGAACAUUCUACUGCGUCUUUGCUUACUUCAAGAUAUGGCGCAUCAGCAGAGAUAGAUGCGAUAAUGUCUUCUCCCUCGACAGUGACCAAACAACCAUCCAUGAUCAACUUUAGUUUUUGAUGGAGAGAGGAUGGAACUGCUCUAGCAGAAUGGAUCCAGGGCCUUCCCUGAAGGCAGUUAUACGAGGGUGUGAUGUCCAUGACUUGGAACUCGACAUUGUAAAUGUAAGGGCCCACUUCUAAAGGGAUAUCAAUCUUUCCCAUGACUUCACGCAUUGUCCCAUUGAAUGCCCUUACCGUGGAAUGACAGGGCCUUAAAUAGGACAGAUCUAUCGGAAUUCUGAAAAGCGUGGCCAAAGGUAUGACAUUAAGUUCUGAGCCAUUAUCGAUAAGCACAUUCAGUAUUAUGUAGCCCUUGCAACGCGUCGUAAAAUGUAGUGCUUUCACAGAGCCUCUACCAUUGGGUGGUAUUUCAUCAUCACUAAAAGAAAUGAAAUUAUCCGCAUUUAAGUUGUUCACCCAUCUGUCCAGCUUCUUCAUGGAUAUAUUGUUUGCCACGUAAGCUUUAUUCAACACCUUCAGCAAAGCGUUCUGGUAUGGCUCCGAAUUUAGUAGCAGAGAUAAAAUCAAGAUUCGUUCUGGCUGCUUAUUCAAUUGUUCCACCACAUUGUAUUCACUGUGUUUGAUAAAUUUCAAGAACUCUUGUGCUUCCUCCUCAUCCACAGGCUUUUUAAUUUCUUGCACGGGUGGAAUUUCUUGCUCGACUUCGGCCUCAUGCAUCACUCUUUCCCUUUUUGCUUCCAGUCACUAUUCUUCUUCACUGGUUCGACCUCUUUCGAAUAACUUCUACUCCGGGUAAAAUGACCUACCUCUCCAACAUCUCCAGUUAUGGCUUUGAGCUUUUCAUCUUCCGGUGUGACGAUAUUGAUGUCAUAUUUCUAUGGUACAGCUUUGUCGUCCUUGUACGGGAAAGGAGACGGUACUUCGAUUAUCAUUUUUAGUUUCACCGACUCUUUCGUCGCAUCGUAAUAAAUUAUUAACGGUCGAUCCGCGCUAUAAGGGAGACCUAAUGACUGGUUGUCAGAAGUGCAUACUUCUCUUUCGUUGGUCUCUUCCCUCUUGUUAAGGACCUUAAUCUCCUUAUUAUCCAUCCGAUCUUGAAGCAACCUUUUAAAUUCCUCACACGACUGAAUGUCGUGUCCUACAAUUCCAUGAAAAUUGCAAAAACUUUGACCUUCUCCGAGGAUUCUAUCGGGGUGACAAAGCAAUCCUUUUUAACCAGUACCUCCCAGAUUUUCUGCAGAGGCGUCCUUAUUUUUAAAACACAUCUUCUGACUUUCCAUUCGUCAUCUUUCCCCACUGUGCUCACAUUCCCUUCAGCAUGGUUAGAGAAUGGGUUCCCAGUUGCGUUACUGGCACUAUCAAACCGUAAUAUACCCGCAUCAAUGAGUCCUUGAACUCUCCUCUUAAAGGCUAGGCAAUUCUCCGUGGAAUGCCCCUGGUUCCUCGCGUGGUAUGCACAACUAGCGUUUGGAUCGUACCACUUUGGGUAUGGAGGUUUAAGGGGUGCCAUGUAAUGGGGAGAAAGUAGCUGUUUCUCCAGAAGUUUUGGGUACAAUUCCCCAUACGACACAGGGAUAAGAGUAAAUUGCAGUCUCUCGGGAUUAGGCCUUGCUGGUCUUAGUUCGUUUCUAGGCUGGCUUUGAGUGGGUACCGUGUUUUGUGGGAAUGUGGUGACGGGUCUUUGGUUGUUCGUGGCGUAUACAGGGUAGGAAGGAGGUGGUGCUUGGUAGUAAGGGGUUUGAGGGGGAUAAUAGAAAUUUGGAGGUGGAUAACUUCAAGGUCGGGGUUGGUUUGGAUAUGGAUUAGGGGCAUAACGACUUCCCAUUCCCACCAUGUGGGCUUCUAGUUCUUUCUUCAUGGGUGCUACCCUUCUUGAACUUUCUUGACCUUCCAUUCUACCGCUCUUGACGGCGUUUUCUAUAAGCUCACCGGAUAUUACAAUAUCCGCGAAGUCCUUCGUAAAGCUUCCCACUAGUUUGUCAUAAAACAGCGUCUUUAAGGUGUUGAUAAAAAGGACGAUUAUCUCCGUUUUCAUUAGUGGGGGUUCCACUUGGGCUGAGAUGUCCCUCCAUCUCUGCGCGUACUGUCUAAAAGUUUCUGGCGACUUUUUCUCCAUCAUUUGUAAAGUCAUCCGAUCAGACACCAUAUCUAAUACAUGCUUGUACUGCUCACAGAAUACCGACGCCAAGUCUUUCCAAGAUCGGAUCCUUUCCUUACUGAGCUGGUUGUACCACCGAAGAGCCGAUCCUACUAGACUGUCUUGAAAACAAUGUACAAGUAGCUUAUCUUCGUUCACGUAACCGGUCAUUUUUCGGUAAAACAUGACAAGAUGUGCUUUUGGACAUCUUGUCCCAUCGUACUUUUCGAAAUCAAGCACCUUGAACUUCGGAGGCAAGAUUAGGUCAGGUACCAAACUAAGUUAUUUAGCACCUAGUACCGAGAAGACUUCAGUGUCUUCUAUUGCCUUGAGUUUUUCUUCCAAAUUCCUAUACUUCUCUUGAGCCUCGUGAUCAUCUAUUUUCAACUUGGCUAUUUCGACUGGAUCAUCUAAAUCUGGAACUACAGGAUUGGCAGGGGUUGUUCCGGGAUUUGACAUAAAUGUUCCUUGCACUAGAUGAGCAAAUGGCAUAGGUCGUUGUUCCAAGCCUUUGGAUUCCCCUUGAGUAUACCCUCUUUGUGCUACGUGGGAAUGUGGUGGAGUGAAUCUUGGAGGAUAGAGUGGAUCCUGGUCAUGAUUAAUUCUUGAUUGAGGUUCCAUACUGUAGGGGUUCUGCAUGGGUCCUUUUCUUUUGACCGAAACUGAUAUCAUCUCCAUCAUUCUAGCCAUUUGAUCAUUUUAUUCAAGUGAUUCCUCCCGAGAUCUUACUAUCAAAUCCCCCGUUUCUUGCUGUGACUUAGCCAAUUGUUCUUGUAAUUCCUUCUGGACUCUUUCCAUCUUUUCGAUCCUUUCAUUGAACUCAGCCUCCAUUGCUCUGGCUUGUCGACGCGUUUUAUACGAAUGGUGUGAUUUCAGAUUUAAAGUGUUGCAACUGCGAAUUAUAUGAUUCUAACCUUAACGAAUGAUUAUGGGAUAUGUAUAUGCAAUGAAUGGAUGAAUUGAUGCAAAAAGAGGCGUUGAUUCCAAUUCAAUUUCAUUAGAACUUCACUAGAAGAAAAAUUUCUUUACAUAGAACAGAUGAUUACAUAUACGACUUCGCCCUAAUGCCCAAAGUCUUUUCUUAAGAAGCCAAGCUAAGCUUCGGCCUCAGUCUGAUUCCGAAUCGUACUUUAAGCUCAAUAUAUCAGCCUGAACUGCCAAGGUUUGCAAGUGAUCAGUUAUCUCUCGAACCUAAGCUAUAGCUUCGCCCAUGACAAAGUCUCUAUCUCUAAUUUGGUUUUAAGAGUGGUGAAACUGUUCUCUGUAAUGGUCAUUGUUUGUCUCAAGAAGUCCCACUCAAAUUUUGCUAUCUUGCAGUGCGGUCUCGAGUUCUUCUAUUUUCCCUUUCAACUCUUCGAUCCUGCUCAGACUAGCCUUUAACUUAAUUAUCGAAUUAUGGCUAUGAUGCUGCUGAAGUAAUCUUUCCAAUUUAGCCACCUGAGCUCGUAACUUCUCUUUUUCAUUUUGGGUUUCUAACAAACUCUUCUUCAGAGUGUCCUCUCGUACUCGGGCAUCUUGAAAUCUUUUCUCCCAAUGGUCGGCUCUAGUCUUUUCCUCUUUAAUCUCUUGACGCCAUUGCUCAGACAUUUUACCUAAUCCGACAAUUUUUAUUGUUAUACGAAGCUUCUUGUAAUCGAUUUUCAGACUAUCUAAAUCUUCCUCGGCCUUGUUCUUUCCUUUCUUUAACUUCUCGGCCUCUAGCUUGUGGAAAUCGACGUCUAACCCCAACUUCAUUUUAUAUUCUUCUAACUACUCUAUCUUCUUCCCCAACUCCGAGUUUUUUUCUUAAAAUCUUGCUUAAUGAUCUCUAACUCAGAUGGGAUGACCCGUAAAUACUCCUCUAUCAGUUGUGUGUUCCCUUGAUUCUGCCUAGGGAUGUUGUCGUUGACUCUCCUACCCUACCACCAUUUAUACUCGGGGGUCGUCAUCGGGCCUGCAGUGAAUCCUUUCAUUCUUCGAGUUUGGUUCCAUGCAUCUAAUAUCUCGCGAACCCUCUUUUUAUAAUUGUUGUCUUUAUAGGGGAACUCACAUUUUGCCAACCCUUGUGUCACCGGUAUAAACUGCCUUGAUACUUCCUUAACACCAUCAAUGGAGCGUAUCCAAUGGCUCCCCAUAUUCCAACCAGAGGGACGCAGUCAAAAUCACCGCACCUAUAUAAGAUCUCGUCAGGAAUAAACCACGGAGCCCUCCAUUCAAUGUCUUCGGUCCGUAAAUUUUAGAGAAUAGUUAUCCACUUCUCUUCGGAGAUGUCGUCCCGCCUCGAUGUGGCCACUAAUUCUCUUAAUGGGGAAUAAUCCUUAGAGAAUACCCGAUAGGAGACCUUUUCCACCUUCUAAAAAUGACUAUGGAACCAAGCCAAAAGAAGCUGUGUGCAACCAAUAAAUCUUCCCUCGCCCGCUCUCCGGCAUGUAUUCAAGGAUCGAAAAGUUUCUGCUAGGAUUGUCAGGACGGGUGUGGUACCUUUAUCAAGUCGAUCGAAUAAAUCUGAGACGGUUUCAUCUAUGUGUCCAAGUGCUUUAGGAAAGACGAUCAAAUCGUAGACUUAAGGCAUAAACAUCAACCCUUUUCUUCGAAUCCGGGUGCGCAAGAAUAAAAUCCCUCAAAUUCCUCCAAUGAAUACAUUUACUAUCCCCUUUUUGCUUGAUGCGGGUCGCAACCCAUUGCUCGCUCAUCCCCGUGAUAUUCAUCAAUUUCUUCAAAAAGGGAGGGACAUUAACAGCUCUUGAAUAGGCCUUAUCGGCCUGAAUCUUUGGGCAAUUAAGUAACACCAUGUUUUCCUCCACCGUAGGUACUAAAUCAACUCCUCCGAAAGUGAAGCAACUGUAAGUGGGGUUCCAAAAUUGCGCGAGGGCCCGAAACAAGUACUUGUCCACCUUUACAUCGAGUAAAUAGGGUAGGCCGUCGUAGUUACAGUAAAAGAGUUGUUUGACUUCGCCAUUCUGACUAUUCCAUAUAUCCCUUAACUCUUGCAGGUCGUUCUGAGUCACACUGAUGCGAGUGAAAUCCCACAACUCCGAUUCAUAUCCCUCGGUCAAACUAUCUCCUUUCUCUUGUUGCGUUCUCUCAGACCACACUCGGACGGCCGCAUUAUCCUCCAUUCUAUCAAGAAAUCAUUUUUCCAUGCUAAACUCUUCUAAUUAGUAACCAAAUGUAAAUCAACACCCUUUUAUGAUGAAAUGUCAUACAAAAAUGAUCAAAAUACAACAAGUUAAUAUUAUAUACAAAGAAUAGAAUUCAAAGCAAAUAGUGAGUAAAUAAGCACCUAAUCAGGUAACCACUAGGGUUUGGUGUGGUUCUACUUAGGCUAGGCUCCUAGGGCUCAUUACAUGUAGUUUGGUUCUAAAGUAAAGGUACCUGAACCAGCAGAUUCCUCGAUCCUCACCCAUUAUAGGUUCAUACAGACCGAGUUCGAUUCAGGGGAAUACAUUUUCCUACGGCUAUACGGAGGUGAAAACCCCAUGAAGACGCAGGUACGGAUGUAUCCCGAAAGCGAUCCACUAUCCUAUACGGAGGUGAAUACCUCACGAAGAAGUAGGUUUUCACUUCCACUUAAGAGGGUGAAAUCAACCAAUAAUGCGAUGCGAUAUGCAAAGAUACCUCAAAGAAUUAAACCACUUAAAGCAAGCAUAUUAUGAAGAGUCGCGAAAAUAACAGACAACAUUCAAUGCAGUAAAUUUAAAAUUGAUUUUCAAUUUUUGACAAAAGAAAAAAAAAUCAAUUUAAGGCUCGACUCUCGAAGUCCCCAGUGGAGUCGUCAAGCUGUCGAAACCAUUCUUUUGAAAACGGAGAUCAGACUUUGUUUGAAAGUGAAAAUUAAAACGGGAGUCGCCACCAAUCUUUUAUCAGGUGUGAUCGGAUCACCUUUGUUUUAAUAAAUCAAUUUUAGUUUACUAAAACAAGGCCUUUGGUAUACGAAACUUGAGAGAAUGAGUUCGGGAGUCGAUUACGUGCGAAGAAGAAUUAGCACCCUCGACACGCCCAAAAAAUUGGUACCGAAUUGAUUAGUUAGUGUCUUAAUAUCGAAAAUUAAAAAUCGGGAAGGGGCUUGAAAUACGAUCUUUUCUAUUAAUACUGAUUUUAAAAUUCUUGAAUUAGCUUAAAUAGAUUUGUUUAAAGAUUUCCUUAUCUCGAGAUAUAGGAGUAUCACAUCCCGUAAGUUAGGACACAAUACCAUGAAUUCCCGAGCACAAGAUUGUCUUUUAAUUUAAAUUGGAAAUCCGUGCAUUUCAAAACUCAAAAGGAUAUUUAGCUAUUUAGAACCAACAAGAGAACCGAAACCCCGUAAGUUAGGGCACAAUUCUUCGAUGUUCCAAAAUGCGAAACAUUUAUCUUAUUUAUUGAAAUUAGUAAAAACAUGAAUAAAAAUCUUUAAAAUAAUGAACAACAGAAUGAUAUAAAAUAGGCGGGAGACAAAAAUAAACGAGUUGGAAAUACAUUGAAACAAAUAAUAAAUAUGACAACAAUAUUAAAACAAUAACAAUGCAUGCGAUAUAUUAAAUGUAAUAAUAGUAUCCAAUGUGAAAUAAAAACAACGAAUAUAUACAUAAUAAAGAUAUUAAGAGUAUGUACGUAAAAUAUAUAUAUAUAUUUAUAAAUAGUAAUAGUGUUAGAAAUAUACUAUAUAUAGUGUUUGAAGUAUAUACAUAAAAUAGUGAAAAUAUAACUAGUAAUGUUAAGAUAUAUAUAAUAUAUACAUAUGUAUGAAAUAGAUAUAAAAAAAAUAUGUACAUAAUAUAGUGUAAAAAAUACAUACAUAAUAUAAUUAAAAUAUAUACAUAAUAUAACAUGUAGAAAAAAAAAUAUAAAUAAUAUAGUAUUAAAGAUAUAUACAUAAAAUAGUAUAAUAUAUAUACGUAAUAUAGAAUUUAGAAUAUACCUAAUAUAUUAAAAGAAUAUAUAUAUAAUAUAAUAUUAAAAAAUAUAAUAAUAACAAAAAAAAGAGGGAGAGAGUGGGUGAUUUCCGACCACCGUCCGGUCACCGAACCGCCGCCGGCCGCUGUCAGUGCCACCGUACAUGGCAGCUGGACCUCAAAAAAACUUUUUCGGUAAAAAUGAGAAACCUUCCUCCUUUUAUUUUUACUUUCGUAUAAAAGAAACAAAAUAAAACUGAAAGGAAAACAAUAAGCAAACAAAGAACUUAAAACGAGAAUAGACCAAGAAACCUCUUUUGCUUUGAUAUUUGAUUAAUCUCCAAAAAAAAACUAGUCUCUCCAAAAACUAGCCUUUACAAUAACUCUUCUUCUUGAUAACUCUAAAAAAAACCUCUUAAAAAUCCUUUACAAUAACUUUCUCCCUCAAAACUUCUUCCCCUAAAUACAAAAUAUGAGAAGGCUUAUAUAGCCAUUUACCAAAUAUUUUUUAUUGUUUAUGUCCUCAUUUGUAGUUACAAGUGGUGGUAAAGCAAGUGUGGCUAAUGGAGUAGGUGGUGGAGCAAGUGUGGGUAGUGAAAUAGGUGGUAGAGCAAGUGUGGCUAGUGGAGUUGGUGGUGGCAAAAGAUAGGAUUUAGUUGAGAAAAAUUUAGGUUGUGGGCUGGGGUUUUUUUAUUUUGAUUUGGGCUUAGGGUUUGGGCCAUUGGGAUUUUGAUGUAAAUUGGGCUUUGAGUAGUUAAGAUUUUGGGUUUUGGGUUUAAUUUUGAUGGGUUAGGUAAGGGUAAAUUGGAUUUUGAUGUAAAUGAGUUUAAAUUGGCCUACAACAUCUAUAUUACAGAAGAAUGAUGGCGUCCGCAACUUACCGAAGGUGCCCAAACAGGACGGAAAUGAAGGAGCAUGUUUUUAGGGAGUGUCCUAUUGCAAAUGAGACAUGGGAAAAGUUAGGCUUUAACUGGCCUACUUUUGGGGAAAGUACUGGUUUUAAAGAUUGGCUUAAAUGUAUUUUUGAGUUAAACUCUUUGAACAAGUGUAGGGUGAUUGCAUUUGCUAUGUGGGUGAUCUAGACAUCAAGAAACAGGUUUAUUCAUGAAGGUUAAGAACAAUCUGGGACUCAAAUGGCAGAUUUCAUAACAAACUACAUCAAAGAACUUGAUGGGUUGAGUAUGCGCUUACCAGUGAAUGGUUUCAGACGGGUAGAUGGGUCGUGCCGACUAACCCGUAGGUUAGAAUCAACUUUGAUGCUGCUUUUAAUAAGGAGAAGAAUGAGUCAUGCUCGGGGUUAGUAAUACGGAAUGCUAGGGCAGAGGUGAUUUGCUCAAAAUCAGUUAUUCAUAAGAAUAUACCUUCUGCUUUUGCUGCGGAAGUGAUGGCAUAUCUCCAGGCGGUCCAUCUUGGGUUAUCUCUUGAGUUGAGAGAGGUUGAGAUUAAAGGUGACUCGCGAUCGGUGAUUCAGAAACUGCAAAAAGGAAAGGAAGACAGAUCAGAAAUCGAAGUUUUCAUUAAAGAUUCAAAGUAUCUGAGCCUUGGCUUUGAAUCCUGUAUUUUUCGGUGUAUCCCUAGAGAAUCUAAUAAAAUUGCUCAUUUCAUAGCGAAAGAGGGAUUAUAGAAGAACGAAUCAACUUAUCUGCUGGGCAUGGUUUUGAUUGGAGCGGAGGAAGCUAUGGUGGCCGAUCAAAGUUGGAGGGUUUCUUUGGGGGACUGAAUCGUUGGAUUUGCUGUUGGAAAGAUUUAGGAUGAAGUUUGAAAAGCCAGGAUGAUUUGUGAUGUUUAGAAGUUUUUCUGUGGAAAUGAUGGCUCUUGCUGAGAAUUAAAGAAAGCACAUCGAUUCACAGGUGGCUUUGUUGCUUUUGAGGGAUAGGUUUAUUAAAUGGUUUACAGCUGGCUAAAGAAGUCUCUAGAGCUACCCGUCUUGCUUUGCUGGAUCUUUUGUUGUUUUAUUUUGUUUCUGUUUUUUGGCCCGGGAUUGUUCGGCUUGGUUUUGGGAUAUUUGUUUUGGAUUUGUUUUGUCUUAUUGAAUAUAAGAUCUAGAUGUUUUACUCAAAAAAAUAAUUUUUUGAGAGAUAUAUUAUAUAUUUAAAAUUUUUUAA